AAAGUCGUAACAAGGUUUCCGUAGGUGAACCUGCGGAAGGAUCAUUAUUGAAUAAACUUGGUCAAGCUGUUGCUGGUCCUUCGGGGCAUGUGCACGCUUGCCACCAAUUUUAACCACCUGUGCACCUUUUGUAGACUAGGAACGUUUCUCGAGGCAACUCGGAUUGAGAACUGCUGCGCGAAAGCCAGCUGUUCUUGUGUUUCUCAGUCUAUGUUUUUACAUACCCCGAAUGAAUGUAUCAGAAUGUAUUGCUUGGCCUUAGUGCCUUUAAAUCAAAUACAACUUUCAACAACGGAUCUCUUGGCUCUC
rnacentral:misc_RNA from 1 species